rnacentral:rRNA from 1 species
GACGAACGCUGGCGGCGUGCUUAACACAUGCAAGUCGAACGGAAAGGCCCUGCUUUCGUGGGGUGCUCGAGUGGCGAACGGGUGAGUAACACGUGAGUCACCUGCCCUUGACUUUGGGAUAACUUCAGGAAACUGGGGAUAAUACCGGCUAGGAGCUCCUGCUGGAUGGUGGGGUUUGGACAGUUUCGGCGGUUUUGGAUGGACGCGCGGGUUAUCAGCUUGUUGGUGGAGUAGUGGCUUACCAAGUCUUUGACGGGUAGCCGGCCUGAGAGGUUGACCGGCCUCAUUGGGACUGAGAGACGGCGCAGACGCGUACGGGGGGCAGCAGGGGGGAAUAUUGCACAAUGGGCGGGAGCCUGUUGCAGCAACGCCGCGUGCGGAAUGACGGCCUUCUUGUUGUAAACCGCUUUCGCCUGUGACGAUGCGUGAGUGACGUUAAUAGGUAAAGAAGCACCGGCUAACUACGUG